UACGUAGGGGGCAAGCGUUAUCCGGAUUUACUGGGUGUAAAGGGAGCGCAGGCGGUACGGCAAGUCUGAUGUGAAAGCCCGGGGCUCAACCCCGGGACUGCAUUGGAAACUGUCGGACUAGAGUGUCGGAGGGGUAAGUGGAAUUCCUAGUGUAGCGGUGAAAUGCGUAGAUAUUAGGAGGAACACCAGUGGCGAAGGCGGCUUACUGGACGAUCACUGACGCUGAGGCUCGAAAGCGUGGGGAGCAAACAGG
rnacentral:rRNA from 1 species